AGUGAACGCUGGCGGUAGGCCUAACGCAUGCAAGUCGAACGGCAGCACAGUAAGAGCUUGCUCUUACGGGUGGCGAGUGGCGGACGGGUGAGGAAUACAUCGGAAUCUACUUUUUCGUGGGGGAUAACGUAGGGAAACUUGCGCUAAUACCGCAUACGACCUACGGGUGAAAGCAGGGGAUCUUCGGACCUUGCGCGAUUGAAUGAGCCGAUGUCGGAUUAGCUAGUUGGCGGGGUAAAGGCCCACCAAGGCGACGAUCCGUAGCUGGUCUGAGAGGAUGGUCCGCCACACUGGAACUGAGACACGGUCCAGACUCCUACGGGAGGCAGCAGUGGGGAAUAUUGGACAAUGGGCGCAAGCCUGAUCCAGCCAUACCGCGUGGGUGAAGAAGGCCUUCGGGUUGUAAAGCCCUUUUGUUGGGAAAGAAAAGCAGCAGGUUAAUACCCCGCUGUUCUGACGGUACCCAAAGAAUAAGCACCGGCUAACUUCGUG
rnacentral:rRNA from 1 species